rnacentral:tRNA from 2 species
GCCCAACUAGCUCAGUAGGUAGAGCGCCACGCUGUUAACGUGGUGGUCCCAGGUUCGAAUCCUGGGUUGGGCG